rfam:Gossypium raimondii Chr01_contig_387, whole genome shotgun sequence.
AGUUAAAAUUUUCAUCCAAUUUUUACCUUAAAAAUCGAUGUGAUUGACGGAAUAACCAAAUAAUUACACAUGGCGUGCCAGUGUACCUCAUGUAGACGUAUAAAGACCAAAUUUUAAUAGUAAAAAUAGAUAAAAUUUUUAAAA